GACGAACGCUGGCGGCGUGCUUAACACAUGCAAGUCGAACGGAAAGGCCCUGCUUUUGUGGGGUGCUCGAGUGGCGAACGGGUGAGUAACACGUGAGUAACCUGCCCUUGACUUUGGGAUAACUUCAGGAAACUGGGGCUAAUACCGGAUAGGAGCUCCUGCUGCAUGGUGGGGGUUGGAAAGUUUCGGCGGGUGGGGAUGGACUCGCGGCUUAUCAGCUUGUUGGUGGGGUAGUGGCUUACCAAGGCUUUGACGGGUAGCCGGCCUGAGAGGGUGACCGGCCACAUUGGGACUGAGAUACGGCCCAGACUCCUACGGGAGGCAGCAGUGGGGAAUAUUGCACAAUGGGCGGAAGCCUGAUGCAGCAACGCCGCGUGCGGGAUGACGGCCUUCGGGUUGUAAACCGCUUUCGCCUGUGACGAAGCGUGAGUGACGGUAAUGGGUAAAGAAGCACCGGCUAACUACGCG
rnacentral:rRNA from 1 species